rnacentral:rRNA from 1 species
UUGGUUAAGUUAGAAAGGGCGCACGGUGGAUGCCUUGGCACUAGGAGCCGAAGAAGGACGGGACUAACACCGAUAUGCUUUGGGGAGCUGUACGUAAGCGUUGAUCCAGAGAUUUCCGAAUGGGGGAACCCACUAUCUUUAGUCGGAUAGUAUCCUUACGUGAAUACAUAGCGUGAGGAAGGCAGACCCAGGGAACUGAAACAUCUAAGUACCUGGAGGAAGAGAAAGAAAAAUCGAUUUCCUGAGUAGCGGCGAGCGAAACGGAAAGAGCCCAAACCAAGAAGCUUGCUUCUUGGGGUUGUAGGACACUCUAUACGGAGUUACAAAAGAAAGUUAUAAAUGAAGCGGUCUGGAAAGGCCCGCCAAAGACGGUAACAGCCCGGUAGUUGAAAUGGCUUUCCCUCCAGAGUGGAUCCUGAGUACGGCGGAACACGUGAAAUUCCGUCGGAAUCCGGGAGGACCAUCUCCCAAGGCUAAAUACUCCCUAGUGACCGAUAGUGAACCAGUACCGUGAGGGAAAGGUGAAAAGCACCCCGGAAGGGGAGUGAAACAGUUCCUGAAACCGUGUGCCUACAAGUAGUUAGAGCCCGUUAAUGGGUGAUAGCGUGCCUUUUGUAGAAUGAACCGGCGAGUUACGAUUUGUUGCAAGGUUAAGCGGAAAAAGCGGAGCCGUAGCGAAAGCGAGUCUGAAUAGGGCGCAUAAGUAACAGGUCGUAGACCCGAAACCAGGUGAUCUACCCAUGUCCAGGAUGAAGGUAAGGUAAUACUUACUGGAGGUCCGAACCCACGCACGUUGAAAAGUGCGGGGAUGAGGUGUGGGUAGCGGAGAAAUUCCAAUCGAACUUGGAGAUAGCUGGUUCUCUCCGAAAUAGCUUUAGGGCUAGCCUCGAGGUAAAGAGUCAUGGAGGUAGAGCACUGUUUGGACUAGGGGCCCUUCUCGGGUUACCGAAUUCAGAUAAACUCCGAAUGCCAUGUACUUAUACUCGGGAGUCAGACUGCGAGUGAUAAGAUCCGUAGUCGAAAGGGAAACAGCCCAGACCACCAGUUAAGGUCCCCAAAUAUAUGUUAAGUGGAAAAGGAUGUGGGGUUGCUUAGACAACCAGGAUGUUGGCUUAGAAGCAGCCACCAUUGAAAGAGUGCGUAAUAGCUCACUGGUCGAGUGACCCCGCGCCGAAAAUGUACCGGGGCUAAACAUAUUACCGAAACUGUGGAUGAACCUCUUUAGAGGUUCGUGGUAGGAGAGCGUUCUAAGGGCGGUGAAGUCAGACCGGAAGGACUGGUGGAGCGCUUAGAAGUGAGAAUGCCGGUAUGAGUAGCGAAAGAAGGGUGAGAAUCCCUUCCACCGAAUAUCUAAGGUUUCCUGAGGAAGGCUCGUCCGCUCAGGGUUAGUCGGGACCUAAGCCGAGGCCGAUAGGCGUAGGCGAUGGACAACAGGUAGAGAUUCCUGUACCAGUGCUAAUUGUUUAACCGAUGGGGUGACACAGAAGGAUAGGGAAUCGCACGAAUGGAAAUGUGCGUCCAAGCAGUGAGUGUGAGAAGUAGGCAAAUCCGCUUCUCGCGAAGCAUGAGCUGUGAUGGGGAAGGAAAUUAAGUACGGAAGUUCCUGAUUUCACGCUGUCAAGAAAAGCCUCUAGGAAGAGUAGUACUGCCCGUACCGCAAACCGACACAGGUAGAUGAGGAGAGAAUCCUAAGGUGAGCGAGAGAACUCUCGUUAAGGAACUCGGCAAAAUGACCCCGUAACUUCGGGAGAAGGGGUGCUCUAUUAGGGUGCAAGCCCGAGAGAGCCGCAGUGAAUAGGCCCAGGCGACUGUUUAGCAAAAACACAGGUCUCUGCAAAACCGUAAGGUGACGUAUAGGGGCUGACGCCUGCCCGGUGCUGGAAGGUUAAGAGGAGUGCUUAGCUUCGGCGAAGGUACGAAUUGAAGCCCCAGUAAACGGCGGCCGUAACUAUAACGGUCCUAAGGUAGCGAAAUUCCUUGUCGGGUAAGUUCCGACCCGCACGAAAGGCGCAACGAUCUGGGCACUGUCUCAACGAGAGACUCGGUGAAAUUAUAGUACCUGUGAAGAUGCAGGUUACCCGCGACAGGACGGAAAGACCCCGUGGAGCUUUACUGCAACCUGAUAUGGAAUGUUUGUACCGCUUGUACAGGAUAGGUAGGAGCCGAAGAGACGUGUGCGCUAGCAUACGAGGAGGCAAUGGUGGGAUACUACCCUGGCUGUAUGACCAUUCUAACCCGCCACGCUUAGCGCGUGGGGAGACAGUGUCAGGUGGGCAGUUUGACUGGGGCGGUCGCCUCCUAAAGAGUAACGGAGGCGCCCAAAGGUUCCCUCAGAAUGGAUGGAAAUCAUUCGCAGAGUGUAAAGGCACAAGGGAGCUUGACUGCGAGACUGACAAGUCGAGCAGGGACGAAAGUCGGGCUUAGUGAUCCGGUGGUUCCGCAUGGAAGGGCCAUCGCUCAACGGAUAAAAGCUACCCCGGGGAUAACAGGCUUAUCUCCCCCAA